rnacentral:rRNA from 1 species
CGCGUAGGCGGUAUGGUAAGUCAAAGGUGGAAGGCAUGGGCUCAACCCAUGGACAGCCUUUGAAACUGCUGUACUUGAGUCGUGCAGGGGAUGGCGGAAUUCCAGGUGUAGCGGUGAAAUGCGUAGAUAUCUGGAGGAAGGCCGGUGGCGAAGGCGGCCAUCUGGGCACGAACUGACGCUGAGGCGCGAAAGCGUGGGGAGCAAACA